rnacentral:tRNA from 1 species
CGUCUCGUGGUGUAGUGUUAACGCGCCUGUCUAGUCAGUAGGAGUCGUGAGUUCGAGUCGCACCGAGAGGA